rnacentral:rRNA from 1 species
GGCUGCAACUCGCCUGCAUGAAGUCGGAAUUGCUAGUAAUCGUGGAUCAGCAUGCCACGGUGAAUACGUUCCCGGGCCUUGUACACACCGCCCGUCACACCAUGGGAGUCGGUAACACCCGAAGCCUGUAGUCUAACCGCAAGGAGGACGCAGUCGAAGGUGGGAUUGAUGACUGGGGUGAAGUCGUAACAAGGUAAC